rnacentral:rRNA from 1 species
UACGGGGGGGCAAGCGUUGUUCGGAAUUACUGGGCGUAAAGGGCUCGUAGGUGGCCAACUAAGUCAGACGUGAAAUCCCUCGGCUUAACCGGGGAACUGCGUCUGAUACUGGAUGGCUUGAGUGUGGGAGAGGGAUGCGGAAUUCCAGGUGUAGCGGUGAAAUGCGUAGAUAUCUGGAGGAACACCGGUGGCGAAGGCGGCAUCCUGGACCGGUAUUGACGCUGAGGCGCGAAAGCUAGGGGAGCAAACGGGG